UACGUAGGGGGCAAGCGUUGUCCGGAAUCACUGGGCGUAAAGGGCGCGUAGGCGGCCUUGCAAGUCGGUUGGUGAAAGCCCGGGGCUCAACCCCGGAGGUGCGGCCGAGACUGCAGGGCUGGAGGCCGGAAGAGGAGGGUGGAAUACCCAGUGUAGAGGUGAAAUUCGUAGAUAUUGGGUGGAACACCGGUGGCGAAGGCGGCUCACUGGACCGGUACUGACGCUGAUGCGCGAAAGCGUGGGGAGCAAACAGG
rnacentral:rRNA from 1 species